rnacentral:lncRNA from 1 species
UACAGUAUAUUGAGAGUUUGAGCAUCAGGAGUUUGACUUCACAAGAACUGAAUGAAACUGAUGUAUCUAUACUAACAUAUUGCAAGGCAGCAGAAUUACUUCAGAGUUCAGAACAGUAUAGAAAUCUAGUCUCACCUUUUCCACAGCAAGGUAUUGAAAUACUCACCCUGUACAUUGAGCUUUAGCUUCAGUUCCUAUUGCCAAUUAAAGCCAACAUGUCUUUAGAACUGAGCAGCAAAUUCUAUAGUUACUUUAAGUGUUCAUUUACACUAAACUAGUGAAGCAAUGUAUAAAAUACGGUUUAAUAUACUUACAAAAAGUAAACUUCCACCGCUUGCCUGAAGAAUUCCACCUAAAGCCUCUGCAUUAUCUAGAUUGCAACUGGGACAUAAACACCUCUUCUGCAGCUCAUUUCCGAGUGAAGCUCAGGAUGUUUCAAAUUCAGAUAUCUGCUUGGGUCUGGUCAAUAAAACAGUAAACUACUAAUGGUCAUGACAUAUGAUACAUGGAAAGUUCACUCAGAGAGAACAUUACAGCCAGGAUGCUAACUAAUUAAGGUUUAGAGUAAAGCAUUAUUAUCUAGAUGCCAAGAUGGGAAAGUUUCAACAAUGAUUUGAAUCCCACUAGUUGAAGCCACAAAGUAAUUUUUUUCCAAUCAUAAAAAGAUAAAUUUUGUAAUUCCAGAAAUAUUUUCAUGGUCUAAUAAUGUUUCCUGGCUUCCCCCUUUUUCCUCUUUAUUAAAAAGGUUUUUUAUGGUUAACCGAUCUGAUAUCAAUUCAAUUGUUAUCUGGUAUGUUAAUGCUAUCAAAUAUUAGUGAGGAUAUCUGGUCAAGUCCUGCAACUCUUUGUUUUCUUUCAGAAGUGUCUCCAUCAGGGAUACUUUUUCUUCCAAUUCAAUCAACUCCUGUUGGACCUGCAGAAGAUCCACUCAACUUAAUCUUUAUCUGAUUAUUUCCAAUAUCACAUAUGGAAGCAAAGUCACAAGAAAGUGAGACCAUUUACAACACGAAAAUGGAACUCUAAUAAAGCAUGGACAGCCGCCAUGCUUGCGAGGUAAAGAGACUAACUUCUUGCCUGCUUAUGAACAAUUUGUUCUGCUUGGUAUUCUUUUUCCUUGAUUUUUGUUUGAGAUAUCAUCUGUUCAAGUUUAUUCUCAAAAGCUCUUCUGGAUACUUCAGCAUCUUCUGCAUUGGCAUAUUUGGGUCAAUGGGAGGGAGGGAGAGGGAGAGAAAGAGAGAGAGGCCCAAAUAGAAGACAAUAUAAUAUUUGUUAAAUUUCUAUCAACCACAUCUCAAAUAAAUCCUAUGCAUACAGAAGCUAUAAGAUGAGGAUCUAUUCCAUGUACAAGGAAUAUUAGUAGAUUUUUAUAAAAUAACAAUUCCAUAUAAAGCGAUGACGUAUAUUAUUUAUAUUUAUAAAUGACACAAACAAUGUCUAUGCCUCAUCUCUCUGUCUAUUAAUAAUUAUAAAUACAGACCAUUUUUAGAUGUUUGAGUGCAAUUUUCUCCGUGGAAUGCAUUAACUACUGUCCUUUGGAAAUCCCUGCAUCAACAAUGUAGAAGCUAGUCAAAUAUUUUAUAUUUCCCAGCAGUAGAUACCAUGAUACCAUAUAUGAAUCCAAACCUCAAAAGUAGCAUGUUACAAGCAUUUCAGUGAGUCAUUUUAUCAUGGACAGUCCACCUUAUCAAAAUUUAUCAGGACAAACUUAUACUCCCUCCGUUCCAGGAUAAAAGUCCUGGUGGACUUUUCACGCAUAUUAAGAAGAUGAAUAAAAUGACAAAAUUGCCUAUAAUAAUGUCAUUAAAUAUGGAGAGAGAAUUAGAAUAAGAAAAGUAUGAGAUAUUUAAUGCUACGGGUAUAAUAGGAAAAUAUGUGUAAAAGUUUGGUUAUUAAAGGAAAAUGGACAUUUAACAUGGGACUACCCAAAAUAGUAAUAAGGACUCUUAUCAUGGGACGGAGGGAGUAGUAUUUCAGAUCAUACAACUGUUUUAAUAUGUCCUUUAGUAAGUCAAUAUAAUAUCUAGGGGUGGAGUCUCCUUGGGGGUGUAUAUACAAAAGGGUAACUCUUGCAUUUGCAUUGGUUUUUGAUAUAAGUCAAUGUGUAAUGAUUUGGUUCUUAAUGAGGUUAGGGAAUACAGAAACGAAAUCAUAAGAGAUGGUGAUUUGCUUCAUCUUUAGGUCACAUUCUCCUUGAAGGUCAUUCAGUUUCCAAGGUGCUAGUAAAAUUGUAUAAGAUUUUUUUGUUGAAUAUAUUUGGGGGAAGAUUGAACUAGAAUUUAUAUUGCCACCCUAUAUUCGAAGAUACCUAAAAUCAUAUUAGAAAUUCAGCUCAUCUCUUGUGCAAUCACAGCAUCCGAUCCUCCAAUACAGACAUGAAAGCCUUCAUAUACUUGAAGUCUAGAGUUGUUUCUUUUCUACAGUUUGAUACAAGAGGAAUAGUCUUAGUUGAAAAUUUUAUUCAAAAAAUAUAGUUUAAGGAAAAACAAAAUUUUCUCUGGUGGCUGAAUACCAAGAUUGCCAGGCAAAGAAAACUCUGGAAAAAAUAUAUCUGUGGCUCCAUGGAAGUUCUUUGGAAUUUGGGGGAAUGUGAUCUCUCAAGCUAGCUUAAAAAUUAAACAUCAGUGACGCCAGCAACCAAGUACUCGUGAAAUGAUGAAAUUAUGCAAACAUUUCAACAUUUGAGUGUUGCAUGUUUGAUGAAGCUAUUCAACAAGAUUCUACUAGCAGGUCCAGUAGGAUAAUGUGCUGGUGCCAAAAGCGGAAAAUGCAAGAGCCCUAAAUAUAUAUUCAUCACAUAUGGAAAAUCUAAGGUGCACAAUUGAAUGUACAACUGUUAAUUAAGUUGCUGAACAAACUACCAUUUUGUCAAAGUGGUUGAGAAAAAAGUUGAGAUGGUUGCCGAAAUAUUUUGCAGUUCCACGCACUAUUAUGACAACUUGUUAUAACAACUAGAGACAAAGCUACAAGCAUUCAAUGUAACCCCAGAGGAAAGUUAAUUGUUUAUAUGUAUGGAUAUGUCCACGUAACAAGAAGAAAUGUUCACUGAAUACCAGCUAGAAAAAGAAUCAUCAGAACCGUGUCAAGCUGAAUGCAAGUGAAAAAGCUCUAGAAGGAAGGUGAGCAACAGUCUGAAUUUGAUGAAUAGUUCUCAU